UACGUAGGGGGCAAGCGUUGUCCGGAUUUAUUGGGCGUAAAGAGCUCGUAGGCGGUUUGUCGCGUCUGCUGUGAAAUCCCGAGGCUCAACCUCGGGCCUGCAGUGGGUACGGGCAGACUAGAGUGCGGUAGGGGAGAUUGGAAUUCCUGGUGUAGCGGUGAAAUGCGCAGAUAUCAGGAGGAACACCGGUGGCGAAGGCGGGUCUCUGGGCCGAUACUGACGCUGAGGCGCGAAAGCCAGGGGAGCAAACGGG
rnacentral:rRNA from 1 species